GACGAACGCUGGCGGCGUGCUUAACACAUGCAAGUCGAACGGAAAGGCCCUGCUUGCAGGGUACUCGAGUGGCGAACGGGUGAGUAACACGUGGGUGAUCUGCCCUGCACUUCGGGAUAAGCUUGGGAAACUGGGUCUAAUACCGGAUAGGAGCCAUCUUUAGUGUGGUGGUUGGAAAGUUUUUUCGGUGUAGGAUGAGCUCGCGGCCUAUCAGCUUGUUGGUGGGGUAAUGGCCUACCAAGGCGGCGACGGGUAGCCGGCCUGAGAGGGUGUACGGCCACAUUGGGACUGAGAUACGGCCCAGACUCCUACGGGAGGCAGCAGUGGGGAAUAUUGCACAAUGGGCGCAAGCCUGAUGCAGCGACGCCGCGUGGGGGAUGAAGGCCUUCGGGUUGUAAACCCCUUUCGCUAGGGACGAAGCUUUGUUGUGACGGUACCUAGAUAAGAAGCACCGGCUAACUACGUG
rnacentral:rRNA from 1 species